rnacentral:rRNA from 1 species
GACGAACCGUGCGAACGUUAUUCGGAAUCACUGGGCUUAAAGGGCGCGUAGGCGGGUCACCAAGUCCGGGGUGAAAUCCCACGGCCCAACCGUGGAAGUGCCUUGGAUACUGGUGACCUCGAGGGGGGUAGGGGCGUGCGGAACUCAGGGUGGAGCGGUGAAAUGCGUAGAUAUCCUGAGGAACACCGGUGGCGAAAGCGGCGCGCUGGACCCCUUCUGACGCUGAGGCGCGAAAGCCAGGGGAGCAAACGGG